AUUGAACGCUGGCGGCAGGCCUAACACAUGCAAGUCGAACGAGUGGCGGACGGGUGAGUAAUGUCUGGGAAACUGCCUGAUGGAGGGGGAUAACUACUGGAAACGGUAGCUAAUACCGCAUACCAUCGGAUGUGCCCAGAUGGGAUUAGCUAGUAGGUGGGGUAAAGGCUCACCUCGGCGACGAUCCCUAGCUGGUCUGAGAGGAGGACCAGCCACACUGGAACGGAGACACGGUCCAGACCCCUACGGUAGGAAGCAGGGGGGAAUAUGGCACAAGGGGCGAAAGCCUGAUGCAGCCACGCCGCGUGGAUGAAGAAGGCCUUCGGGUUGUAAAGUACUUUCAGCGGGGAGGCGUUACCCGCAGAAGAAGCACAGGCUAACUCCGUGCCAGCCGCCGCGGUAAUUC
rnacentral:rRNA from 1 species